GAUGAACGCUGGCGGCGUGCCUAAUACAUGCAAGUCGAGCGAAUGGAUUGAGAGCUUGCUCUUAUGAAGUUAGCGGCGGACGGGUGAGUAACGCGUGGGUAACCUGCCCAUAAGACUGGGAUAACUCCGGGAAACCGGGGCUAAUACCGGAUAACAUUUUGAACCGCAUGGUUCGAAAUUGAAAGGCGGCGUCGGCUGUCACUUAUGGAUGGACCCGCGUCGCAUUAGCUAGUUGGUGAGGUAACGGCUCAACAAGGCAACGAUGCGUAGCCGACCUGGGAGGGUGAUCGGCCACACUGGGACUGAGACACGGCCCAGACUCCUACGGGAGGCAGCAGUAGGGAAUCUUCCGCAAUGGACGAAAGUCUGACGGAGCAACGCCGCGUGAGUGAUGAAGGCUUUCGGGUCGUAAAACUCUGUUGUUAGGGAAGAACAAGUGCUAGUUGAAUAAGCUGGCACCUUGACGGUACCUAACCAGAAAGCCACGGCUAACUACGUGCCAGCCGCCGCAGUAA
rnacentral:rRNA from 1 species